GGCAUGAUACCUUACACCUGGUUAUCAGAAUACUCAUCUUGGGAGAAAGGUGCCACAUGGAGAAAAAAAUCUUACAUCUUUCAUUAAAUACAUAAAUUCAACCUAAAAGAAAAUGAGGAGGCAUGCGUUCCUCGUGAUGCUAACAACUGUUAACUUUAUCCCUCUAAAAGUGUUGGCAGUAUUAUGGUAAAUUACUCUACAUUCCAUCAGAAAAACUGAAGCAAUAUUGAACAAUUACAGUGUUGGGUUCCAUUUCAAUGGUUCCUUUCGAGAACUACGGCAAAUUAGCUCAAGAAUCACUAUUUCUACACUCUCCUUCUUUUGGCUUUAAGUGGCUUUUGAAGGGAGUAUCCCCAGAUGAGAAACUUCCAACACUCCUGCAGAGAUGACCUGCUUGAAGAACUGGCUGCCUGAUUAACUAUUAACUGCUCUCAAUAGGAUUAGAUAAUUAAGGACAUUGAUGACCAUUAAUUAGGA
rnacentral:lncRNA from 1 species